rnacentral:rRNA from 1 species
GCCAGACUCCUACGGGAGGCAGCGGUGGGGGAUAUUGGACAAUGGGGGAAACCCUGAUCCAGCGACGCCGCGUGAGUGAAGAAGUAUUUCGGUAUGUAAAGCUCUAUCAGCAGGGAAGAAAGAAAUGACGGUACCUGAGUAAGAAGCCCCGGCUAACUACGUGCCAGCAGCCGCGGUAAUACGUAGGGGGCAAGCGUUAUCCGGAAUUACUGGGUGUAAAGGGAGCGUAGACGGUUAAGCAAGUCUGGAGUGAAAGGCGGGGGCCCAACCCCCGGACUGCUCUGGAAACUGUGUAACUGGAGUGCAGGAGAGGUAAGCGGAAUUCCUAGGGUAGCGGUGAAAUGCGUAGAUAUUAGGAGGAACACCAGUGGCGAAGGCGGCUUACUGGACUGUAACUGACGUUGAGGCUCGAAAGCGUGGGGAGCAAACAGGAUUAGAUACCCGCGUAG